UACGGAGGGUGCAAGCGUUAUCCGGAUUCACUGGGUUUAAAGGGUGCGUAGGAGGGCAGGUAAGUCAGUGGUGAAAUCUCCAAGCUUAACUUGGAAACUGCCGUUGAUACUAUCUGUCUUGAAUAUUGUGGAGGUGAGCGGAAUAUGUCAUGUAGCGGUGAAAUGCUUAGAUAUGACAUAGAACACCCAUUGCGAAGGCAGCUCACUACGCAUAUAUUGACGCUGAUGCACGAAAGCGUGGGGAUCAAACAGG
rnacentral:rRNA from 1 species